AGACAGUUCGGUCCCUAUCUGUUGUGGGCGUAGGAAUAUUGACAGGUUCUGACUUUAGUACGAGAGGACCGAGUUGGACUGACCUCUGGUGUAUCAGUUGUCCUGCCAAGGGCAUAGCUGAGUAGCUACGUCGGGACCAGAUAAGCGCUGAAAGCAUCUAAGUGCGAAACUGACCUGAAGAUGAGUAUUCCAAAUAAGGGCCGUUGUAGAUGACAACGUUGAUAGGUUGCAGAUGUAUAGGUAGAGAUACCAGAGUCGAGCAAUACUAAUUACCCAAUAGCUUAUGAUAU
rnacentral:rRNA from 1 species